CACCCGAGGGCCUGCGGUCAGCUGGUCAGUCCGGUGAGCCUCACAGGGAAGGUUGGCCCAAACUGGAGAUAGUUAGGAUUAAAGCGCUCCUGGGUUCCCUUCGCCGUGGUACUCCUAUGCCCCUUGCUCUCUUUAAAUUCAGUACCCGGUGCGCUUUCCACAAGCUGGGCUGAGGAUGUCCCCGGGGGUCUAGAAUCCUGGAGAUCUGUCAGACAGGUAUGAGCUGGUGGGUCAAAGUUCAGGGGACCGUGGAGCCAGAAGCCUGAGUAGAGUUCGGUCAAGACACGUUAGCAGGAGGAAGUCAAGGUAAACAAGGCAAAAUGGAUACAUGUGAAAAGAUAUUCAGCUAUCCAUGGAAAAGGAUCGCUCUGAAGAUCAAAGGGUAGUAUGACAUUAAAUGAGUCAUGGUGUUCUCCAAGAGAGUAAAACGGUAUUCUUGUAAGUUAUGGUUUGAUUCUUAGAACAUCUGACAGAAGGGUCUAUUGAUUACUGGGGCGGGGGAGCGGUUCCCCUCCUCACCGGCUGUUUGAGCUCCUGUGUGGGGCCAAGCAUAUUUUUGUUGUAAUUUAUCCCACCUGUGCCUGUCAGUUCCUUUCCACUUGCCUCCUCCCGUGACAGCCUGGCUCAUGUUUCUUCAUGAAGCUCUAAGCCAGUUAUUAAUAACGGCCCAGCGCGUCUCCUGAUCCACCUAAGAGCAUAUGGUGUUUUUCACAAAAGAGAAGAGACAUCAUUCUCCUUGGCUUUGGACUUCACUUACCGAGCCCCUGAGCAGUAUUCGGUGCUCUUGAACGUGGACAUCAGGCUUUGCUAAGUGACAUGUGUGAGGGAGGCAUUGCAGCGAACUGGAAGGAGGCAUUGCAGCUGGCCUGGUGUGGAGCCCUGGCCUGGAGUGCUAACCAACUGUGGGAGUUCAAGCAAGUCCUAAGCUCUCUGAGCGGAGUGGGGUUUUCUCAUAAUGUAUCUUCACUGCAACAACCACUGUUUGCUGGAGCACCAGGCAGCAUGCUGGGCUCCUGGCUUCCCUUCUUCCUGAUCCUGAGAUACAGCGGCAGCGGCAAAGACUGUGGGGUCAGACAGAUCUUCAUUCAGAUCCCUGAUUAUCUCUGCGGAAGUCUACUUUGUCAAGUUGUGACCUGCCAAAAGUGUUCCAGUCUUCGCUUGCAACUUCCUUGGUUUUGGACUCGCUGGUCUGACCCUGGCUGGAAUCGGAGAAGUUGGGAGGUGUUUAAAGAGAGCCCAAGAAGAAUGACUCAUUCAAGGAUACCCUCUAGGAGGGACCAAGGUUGCUAAGAGACCAC